UUUAAAAAUUUCAUUAUUCCUAAGGCAGUGCUCGAAUCCAAGCCAGAUGUCGGUUCCUGAUGAUGGUCAUCAUUUUAAUCAUGGAAAAAGAGAAAGAGAAACGAAAUGACCCUUUUAAUUAAUUUCCUUCAAAUAUAAUCCAAACCCUUUGGACACAAAUUUAAAGUCAUUGACAAAGAUCACAACGUAAUGACAUGAAUGAAAAUCUGUCGAUUCCCUUAACUAAAUUCUGCUUUUCCUUUUCUCAAGGUGUCUCUUUAUAUCAUCACAAUCUAUUAAUAAUCUUUUAUGAACUUUUUCCUAGGGAUUAUUAGCCUUCUAAUGGGCAAUAAAUUCAUCUGGUCACAAGGUAAAUUAUAACAACAAUCAACUAAUGUCAUGGGAUAAUUUAACCACAACCCUCAAUGGAUCUAACAGAUUACAAAGAUUUUCCUCUAAAUUGUUGUUUUUUUUUCAUCUUGACGAUAUUAUGAAAAGAUUACAAUAAGAUGCUGAUUUUUUCAUUGUUAAAAAAAGGAUUGGAUCAAUUGGCUACCAUCAAAGUUAAUUGGUCAAGUCAAUUUGAAAGUUCAACGACUCUGCUUGAUUUACCUUAAUCAACAUCAUUAUUAUUUCGACAACAAUCAAAUUGCCACAAAUGAAGAAAAUACCAAUUCUACCUACAGAAAAUGUCAACACUGAUAAUAUAAUCAUCGGUAUUUGAUGAUUACAACAAUUACCUGAUUGUUGAAAAAAAAAACGAUCUCUAUAUUCAGUCAAUUAUUUUACUACCAAGAGACAAUUAAUACUUUUAAUUGUUAUAAAGUUCACUCAUCAUUAACCAGUAAACAAAUACCUAGUAAUUAAUCAACUGAUUAUGAUGAUUAUUGUGAAAUUACUGUUUACAGUUAUUUAUGAUUAUCUCUUAAUUGAAAUGUCAAUAACUAUUUGGAGUUAUCAAUUUGAUUGUGAUUGGAAGAUAUAUUUAUAUAUAUAAAUCUAUUGAAAUGAUUACAUAUCCUCAUUCAGGAGACAAAAGAUAAUCAGUUAAAUCGUUCAACUAGUGAUGGUAAUUAAAGAUGAUCCAUUAAUUAAUUAACAGGUAUCAAUGGGGAACCUGAUGUUUAAGACCAAGGCUAAUUAAAUGAUUACUCUACUUGAAACUAAUCAAGGCCAAUGUGAGACAAUCAACAGUCAAAUAUAAUCAUCAUAAUAAUCAACAACAACCAGUGUUCAAAGGGAAAAAGUCGGAUGAGAGCAAUUAACCACCAGAGAAAUGUAGUCAACGAAAAUCAAUUCAAUUCAGUUAAUCUCAUUAACAAUCAAAUAUUGACAAUAAUCAAUCCUGACAAUUUAACCUAUGGUGUUUUAAUAGUGAAUCUUAUCAUCUACAAUUAACUAACAAUCAAAAUCAAAUCAAUUGUGAUAACAUUUACACUUUCUUAAAAUGCUCUCUCUCUUUAAUGGAUUUUAAUUGUAUAAAAAAAAAGUUGAUAAUUGUUGUUGGAGGCAAUUAUUAAUUACUAAUAAUGGUUAAGCCUUAAAUUAGCUUCUAAUUGCUCUUCAUUUGAUUUACAAUUAACUCAAUUAUAAUUAGGCCAAGAUGAUUUCAAUCAUACGAAAAAAAAAGUUAAACUAAUCAACCAAUUUAUUAACUAACUUUGUACAAUUGCGAAAGCUUUUUAAUUCAAAGUUUAAAUUUGAUCAGGCUAAUCAAAAUAAUUACUUAAUUGUUGUAAAUUUAUUUCAGUUAACUAAACAAAAAAUUAACAACCAACACCAAUCAUCAGUCAUAAUAAUAAUAAUCAAUUGUAAUUUCCGGGUUAACUAUUAACUACAACAAUCAACUAACCAAAGGUUGGGUUAACUAAACAUGAUAAUAAUAAAUGAAAAUCACAUUUAUGUAAAUAAUAAUAACAAUCAAUCAUUAAUUGUUUAAUAAUGAUGCUGAUAGUUAACUAAUUAAACAAUCAAUUAGUACAACAAUUAAGUAAACCUUAUAUAUGGAAACCGUUUUUGGUGGUAGACAAGAAAAGUUAUUGUUUCUCAUUUUCGUUUGAAACUUUUUUGUUUCUCUCGCAAUUGUUACGAUGUUUUCCUUGAUUGUGGAAAUUUAAUCAGACAGAAUUGCAAUUAAGUUUAAUUGU